rnacentral:lncRNA from 1 species
AGUUGGGUGGUUGGGAAAGGGAGGCUGAAGAUCUGCUUCCCCUGAGAGACAAGCAAUUUUCAACGAUGUAAAACACAAGCUACGUCUGCACUGCAGUGGCCAAAGAGCAAGCAGUAGAGUGUCAUGAGACAGGACUGUUGUCCUGGAAACAUCUUUUUUUAAAAUAACAACUUAACAAGCCUAACGCAGUGAGCCCCUACCUCUAAACAGCCGUAGCUUGAGAAGACAUGUGGGAUAUAUACUUAUCCACGGCUUGACCAUUUCCCCAGAUGACAUUACUGUGAAGUUUGCAUAAGUCAUCUGAGACUGAUAACAAGGACACUGUGCCACAGCAACGACAGACAACAAAUCUGGGGAAGUUUGAGGACACACCCUCCGGCUGGGUGGUUGGCAAAGGGAGGCUGAAGAGCCUGCUUCCCUUGAGAGACAAGCAUGUGCUACCCUGUUCUCAAAUAUUUCAGUUAUUCAUGGUCAUGUGGCUGUGCAUAUGGAGGAAAACAGAAAAAAAAUGUCACAGGAAAUGUACCUUCUGUUCCCAUUGUAUCUGAAGAUGAGCCAUUCAUACAACUUGGAUGUAGAUACUUCCUUACAUGUACCUUGAGCAACCCAAGAAAUUUGGGCAGGUUUCCAUGCUAUGACAACACAUUUGCUUAGAGACCAAGCAGCCCAGUGGAGAAAGCGAGAAGCAAUUCCUGAAAGCUGUCCAGUGACACCCCCAAAACACCAUUAAAUAAAUAAAUAAACACUUCAAGAGGAGAUGAGUGAAAGCUGCUUGUCCAUUAGAAUAUUCAAUGGAAGACUUCCGUUGACUACUCUAGUAUCAGGUCUAGCAGCUGGCAUCCGAGCUCAGAGUACCAGCAUGUACAAAAAAGGUCUGGUUUCCAGUUCAGAUCUGCCUGUCUUCUUCCUGUGCCCUAGCAAGCUAAAGAGGAUGAGGCAGUGCUCUGCGAAAGGAGGUUCUUGGCUCAAUUUUCCAGGACGCAUGAUGGGACCAAACUGUACGUCACUAUGUGGAAAUGCACAACCAUAAAUUCUGCUCUCUCUGGAAUGGAACAACAGAUUUAUUCUUGGUGUCAUUUCUGACAUCUAGCAUGAAGUCCAUUCACAUGGCCUUCAGGCAAUGACAUGAUGUGUAUCAUUCACUCACAGAAGAGUUGAAUAAAGGGCUAGAUAACUGUGAUCACAGUAAGAACACAGAGUUGACACGAUCGACUACUCUCCCUAUACCGUAUACUGCAGUCUAAUCCUCCUCUGCUUUCAAAUCCAGGUCAGAAAGCAAGUUUGUUUUUAACAGUUUCACCAAGACCAUCAAAAUAACCUUUUACAAAAACAACUGUUGGCCAAGGAUUUCAGGAUGCAAUAUCUCCCAAAGAACAGACUUGGAAUUAGGUCAGGACCCAGACCCAACCACUGGCUGUUCAAAGACGGACAGAU